GAUGAACGCUGGCGGCGUGCCUAAUACAUGCAAGUCGAGCGAACGGACGAGAAGCUUGCUUCUCUGAUGUUAGCGGCGGACGGGUGAGUAACACGUGGAUAACCUACCUAUAAGACUGGGAUAACUUCGGGAAACCGGAGCUAAUACCGGAUAAUAUUUUGAACCGCAUGGUUCAAAAGUGAAAGACGGUCUUGCUGUCACUUAUAGAUGGAUCCGCGCUGCAUUAGCUAGUUGGUAAGGUAACGGCUUACCAAGGCAACGAUGCAUAGCCGACCUGAGAGGGUGAUCGGCCAACCGGGAACUGGGAAACGGUCAAGACUCCUAGGGGAGGCAGAAGUAGGGAAUCUUCCGCAAGGGGCGAAAGCCUGCAGGAGAAACGCGGGGGGAGUGAUGAAGGCCUUCGGACCGUAAACUCUGUUAUUAGGGAAGAACAUAUGUGUAAGUAACUGUGCACAUCUUGACGGUACCUAAUCAGAAAGCCACGGCUAACUACGUG
rnacentral:rRNA from 1 species